CCAAUAGCGUAUAUUAAAGUUGUUGCAGUUAAAAAGCUCGUAGUUGAAUUUUGGGUCUGGCCGGGCGGUCCGCCCUCCGGGUGAGCACUGUUCCGACGCCGGGCCUAUCCUUCUGGUGAGUCGGCAUGUCCUUUAUUGGGUGUGUCGGGGAACCAGGACCAUUACCUUGAAAAAAUUAGAGUGUUCAAAGCAGGCGUAUGCUCGGAUACAUUAGCAUGGAAUAAUGAAAUAGGACGCGUGGUGCUAUUUUGUUGGUUUCUAGAACCGCCGUAAUGAUUAAUAGGGAUAGUUGGUGGCAUUAGUAUUCAAUUGUCAGCGGUGAAAUGCUUGGAUUUAUUGAAGACUAACUUCUGCGAAAGCAUUUGCCAAGGAUGUGUUCAUUAAUCAAGAACGAAAGUUAGGGGAUCGAAGACGAUCAGAUACCGUCGUAGUCUUAACCAUAAACUAUGCCGACUAGGAAUCGGGCGAUGUUAUUCUCAUGACUCGCCCGGCGCCUUAUG
rnacentral:rRNA from 1 species